UCGAAUCCCUUAGGAUCACAAAAGUUAAGCAAUGUCGAACCUGGUCAGUAUCUAGAUGGGUGACCGUUUGGGAAUACCAAGUGUUGUAAG